rnacentral:rRNA from 1 species
UUGAUCCUGGCUCAGAAUCAACGCUGGCGGCGUGCCUAACACAUGCAAGUCGAACGAGAAAGUGGAGCAAUCCAUGAGUAAAGUGGCGACCGGGUGAGUUACACGUGACCAAUCUACCCUUGAGUGGGGGAUAACCGCGGGAAACCGCGUCUAAUACCGCAUAAUAUCUUUGAAACGCAGGUUUUGGAGAUCAAAGGAGUAAUCCGCUUAUGGAGGAGGUCGCGGCUGAUUAGCUAGUUGGUAGGGUAAUGGCCUACCAAGGCUUAGAUCGGUAGCCGGCCUGAGAGGGCGCACGGCCAUACUGGAACUGAAACACGGUCCAGACUCCUACGGGAGGCAGCAGUGGGGAUUUUUGCGCAAUGGGGGAAACCCUGACGCAGCAACGCCGCGUGGAGGAUGUAGUCCCUUGGGACGUAAACUCCUUUCGACCGGGACGAUAAUGACGGUACUGGUGGAAGAAGCACCGGCUAACUCUGUGCCAGCAGCCGCGGUAAUAAGGU